UGGUGUGAUCCAUGAAUGGUUCAUUUUAAUAAACGUGAGCUUGUCCACGUUGGCCGUGGACAGGCGGCUGCGCUGCUCUGUGAUAACCUCGUGCCAAUCGCACGUCCCCUUGACAGCGACAACACAUUCGGAUGUCUGCUCUAUCGACUUUCGAUGCUAUUUUCUGCGCCUACCAUGGUGACCACGGGUAACUGGGAAUCAGAGUUCGAUUCCAGAGAGGGAGCCUGAUAAACGGCUACCAUAUGCAAGGAAUGCAGCAGGCACGCAAACUACCCACUCCCGACGCGGGUUGGUAGUGA